GAUGAACGCUGGCGGCGUGCUUAAUACAUGCAAGUCGAGCGAACAGAUGAGGCGCUUGCUCCUCUGUCGUUAGCGGCGGACGGGUGAGUAACACGUGGAUAACCUACCUAUAUGACUGGGAUAACCUCGGGACACCGGAGCUAAUACCGGAUAAUAUAUUGAUCCGUAUGGUUCAAUAGUGAAAGACGGUUUUGCUGUCACUUAUAGAUGGUUCUGGGCGGCUUUAGCUAGUUGGUACGGUAACGGCUUUUCAAGGCAACCAGGCGUAGCCGACCUGAGAGGGGGAUAGGCCGCACGGGAGCUGGAACACGGUCCAGGCUCCUACGGGAGGCAGCAGUAGGGAAUCUUCCGCAAUGGGCGAGAGCCUGGCGGAGCGACGCCGCGUGAGUGAUGGAGGUCUUCGGAUCGUGAAACUCUGUUAUUAGGGAAGAACAAAUGUGUAAGUAACUAUGCACGUCUUGACGGUACCUAAUCAGAAAGCCACGGCUAACUACGUG
rnacentral:rRNA from 1 species